rnacentral:rRNA from 1 species
AUGGGGAUUUUUAAAUUUCCUGCUUCUAUUUGUGAAGAGUUAUCCCAAAUCAUUAGGAAUUUUUGGUGGGGUGACCAGGAGGAUAGGAAGAAAACUCAUUGGCUAGCAUGGGAUAAGUUGACAAGACCCAAAGGAGAAGGAGGUAUGGGCUUUAGAGAUUUGAGAUUAUUUAAUCAAGCGCUUUUGGCGAAACAGGCUUGGCGUUUAUUGGUCUUUCCGGACUCGUUAUGUGUAAAGGUGAUGAAAGCAAAGUAUUAUCCUCAUGGGCAUUUGCUAGACACUGUAUUCCCUCAGGUGACAUCGACUACUUGGCAAGGUAUUAUGCAUGGUCUUGAGCUGCUGAAAAAGGGGUCAUUUGGAGAGUUCGCGACGGUGCAAAUAUAA